rnacentral:rRNA from 1 species
UACGGAGGGUGCGAGCGUUGUCCGGAAUCACUGGGCGUAAAGGGCGCGUAGGCGGCCUGAUCAGUAGGGGGUGAAAUCCUGCGGCUUAACCGCAGGGCUGCCUUCUAAACUGUCAGGCUGGAGCACAGUAGAGGCAGGUGGAAUUCCCGGUGUAGCGGUGGAAUGCGUAGAGAUCCGGAAGAACACCGGUGGCGAAGGCGGUCUGCUGGGCAGUAGCUGACACUGAGGCGCGACAGCGUGGGGAGCAAACAGG